AACGAACGCUGGCGGCAGGCUUAACACAUGCAAGUCGAGCGCCCCGCAAGGGGAGCGGCAGACGGGUGAGUAACGCGUGGGAACGUACCCUUAUCUUCGGAAUAGCUCCGGGAAACUGGAAUUAAUACCGAAUGUGCCCUUUGGGGGAAAGAUUUAUCGGAUAAGGAUCGGCCCGCGUUGGAUUAGCUAGUUGGUGGGGUAAAGGCCUACCAAGGCGACGAUCCAUAGCUGGUCUGAGAGGAUGAUCAGCCACAUUGGGACUGAGACACGGCCCAAACUCCUACGGGAGGCAGCAGUGGGGAAUAUUGGACAAUGGGCGCAAGCCUGAUCCAGCCAUGCCGCGUGAGUGAUGAAGGCCCUAGGGUUGUAAAGCUCUUUCAGUAGGGAAGAUAAUGACGGUACCUACAGAAGAAGCCCCGGCUAACUUCGUGCCAGCCGCCGCAGUAAUAC
rnacentral:rRNA from 1 species